GUAGGUGGCAAGCGUUGUCCGGAAAUUAUUGGGCGUAAAGCGCGCGCAGGUGGGUUCUUUAAGUCUGAUGUGAAAGCCCCCGGGCUCAACCGGGGAGGUCAUUGGAAACUGGGGAACUUGAGUGCAGGAGAGGAAAGUGGAAUUCCACGUGUAGCGGUGAAAUGCGUAGAUAUGUGGAGGAACACCAGUGGCGAAGGCGACUUUCUGGCCUGUAACUGACACUGAGGCGCGAAAGCGUGGGGAGCAAACAGGAUUAGAUACCCUGGUAGUCCACGCCGUAAACGAUGAGUGCUAAGUGUUGGGGGGUUUCCGCCCCUCAGUGCUGCAGCUAACGCAUUAAGCACUCCGCCUGGGGAGUACGGUCGCAAGACUG
rnacentral:rRNA from 1 species